UACGUAGGGGGCAAGCGUUGUCCGGAAUCAUUGGGCGUAAAGAGCGUGUAGGCGGCCCGAUAAGUCCGCUGUGAAAGUCCAGGGCUCAACCCUGGAAUGCCGGUGGAUACUGUCGGGCUCGAAUCCGGAAGAGGUGAGUGGAAUUCCUGGUGUAGCGGUGAAAUGCGCAGAUAUCAGGAAGAACACCUAUGGCGAAGGCAGCUCUCUGGGACGGUACUGACGCUGAGACGCGAAAGCGUGGGGAGCGAACAGG
rnacentral:rRNA from 1 species